GGGGUGUGCCCGCGCCUCACACAAAGGCGGCGGUUGGGCGGGAGGCGCAUGCGCAGGGAGGGGUUGGCGCACCCACGUGGUGCUGGGUGAGUUCUACAGCUUCUCCAGCCAUUCUAUUUCUGCACACUAGUUGGUUUUGUUGUCAUCUUUUUUGCAAGAUCAUCUCCUUUAGAGGCUUAUUGUGGAGACUGAAAAUUCUGCAGAACGUGGUGUUUCUAUUUGGAGGACAGUUCUACAUCCAGUUACUUAAUCUGAAAAGGAACAGCAGGAUAAAUAAUCACAGAGGGGAUUUGAAGUGUUGAUGUAGAAUUAUGAGGAUCAAAAAAAGAAAUGGGAAGAUGGUAUCUACCCUGGGAGUCUGGAGAUGCUCAUGCUCUUGAGUUUUGUUGCAACACAGAAAUAAAGGGUAAGUCCUGCCACUGCUGAUAGUACACUUUGCAAGUUCUCUUCGUGAGUGUAGAUCAGCUGCUGAUACCAGUAGCUUGUUACUGCUGUAUUCAAACACUGAUGAUUCUGAUUGAUAUGAUUUGCUCAGGGUACAGAGUGCUGAAGUUCCCUUGUGCUCCAGUGGGCUGAGAGUGUCUUACAUGCAUAUUUCUUCUGCCUAGUCUGGUUUUCCUUAAGUUAGUGCAUUUCCUUUGGUAUGUGUUAACUGUUAAAUGGAAACACCCCAUUUCAGGUAAUUUUGUUGAACGUGGAAGAUCGGGUGCAGGAAGGAGUUUCAUAGUUGCACAGAUCUAUUAGGAAGCUCAUUCCAACCAAGCACGUUUUUUCUUAGCCUGGAGUUUUGUGGUAGUGCUUUUUUUUGUCCUUCCAGGGCUAACCACUCAGCCUAUUCAAUCUUGAUUUACAGAUCUUUAACUGCAAUUUAUUAGUUCUUUAAUAUUUUCCAGGUGCAUGUUGUGGUUCUGCUCCUGACACAGCUCUUUUGCCAUGCAGGAAGCCUCUGAGGAAGGCUGCCUUUCUAAAGAUUAGAUCCAAGUUGAUGGAAGUAAUCCCAGCUGACUUGGGCAGCGCUAGGUCAGACCAUAAACCAGGUGCUGUUGCCCUGCAGCUAACUGAAAAACAUGGCUUCAAUGUGAGAAGUAACUGAAGCACACAUUGGCAGUGGGUGGCAGAAGGGCCCAAGGUUUCAAAAGCAAACUGCAUGGGACCGCUGAAGAAACAGUCCAUUGAAAACCCACCUCAUGUAAGUUUUAGGCAAAGGUGGUCUCCAGCCCUUUCAAGCAGAAUUUCAAGUUGCUGAGCUCAUCCUCCAGCACCACUUGGUACUACUCAGGGUAGCACUUCCAUUGCCAGGAUCCAGCUCAGUAGAACAGUCCAUCUUUGCUCUCAUCAUUUGGCCCAAGCACACCUCAGCACCCAGCAAGUUCCCUCAUUCCUACUGAAGAGAUGGGAAUCCAGUGUUCAUCCUGAGUACCCUGCUACACCUUCUGCUUCCGUUUCCAUUUGCAAGAAGUGUUUGCUGCUUCUGUGGAAUUUAUUAAAGAUUUCUUUAAUAAAACUACUGUUG
rnacentral:lncRNA from 1 species